rnacentral:rRNA from 1 species
AAACUUUCAACAAUGGAUCUCUUGGUUCCGGCAUCGAUGAAGAACGCAGCGAAAUGCGAUAACUAGUGUGAAUUGCAGAAUUCCGUGAAUCAUCGAGUCUUUGAACGCACAUUGCGCCCCCUGGGUAUUCCGGGGGGCAUGCCUGUCCGAGCGUCAUU